AAUGGCCGGGACAAAGGCGAUGGGUGAGCUCACCCCAAAAACUCGUCCUCAGUUCGGAUUGCAGGCUGCAACUCGCCUGCAUGAAG
rnacentral:rRNA from 1 species